UUGUCUUUAUGGUUCGAGCUCCUAGAAAUUGCUAGCUCUAUCCAGCUUACAGACGAUGAUGACUCGCUAGUUUGGAAUAUGAAUUCCAAAGGGGUUUACACUGUUAAAUCUUUUUAUAAAUUUAUUAAUUUCAGGGGGGUGCUACCUGUCAACUCCCCUGCCGUUUGGAAGAUCAAGAUUCCCCGUAGAAUCCAGAUUUUUCUCUAGCUGUUAACUAACAACAAGCUGCUAACUAGAGAUAAUCUGUGCAAAAGGCAGAAUGUAGAUGAUAGUACAUGUGUCUUUUGCAAUGAACAUGAAUCUUGCUCUCAUUUAUUCAGUACUUGUAUUGUUGCUGUUGAAUUCUGGAAAGCCAUCUGUGUCCUCACUGGAGUUAAUGGUGACAUUAACAUAAUGAGCAUCUCCUCCUGCUGGAUCAGAGGAGAUAGCUUUGCUGCGAUUAAUGUUGUUCAUGCAGCUGGGCUGUGGGCUAUCUAG
rnacentral:rRNA from 1 species